UUCAGCUUUGGAGUCGAAUGCAAUUUGAAAAAGAAGGAUUUAAAUAUUGAAUUACAUCAUUCGGUUACUGAUUGUGAAGUAAACAAUAGCAUAUUAAUAGAUUUUAAAAAUGAAUAUAUUUGGUGUUGUGGAAUGUUACAAAAAAAUGGCCACUGUUUGUAUACAAGAGACUUUUAUGCAGAAAUACAACAUCGCCUAUUAAAAAGUGUUAAUGGAACUAGAAGUGGGACUAUACAUACCUGUAGCUGUCUUGGUCUCGUUGGUGGUCUUGAAGUUCAUGUUCUACCUACUAUUUGGAUAGUAUUAGAGCUACUUCUAAUUUUACCAGUCAAAAGCAUUUAAGGACUGAGAGCUAGUUACUUUUAUAAGUUGAUUUAUUAAAAACUCGAGGUAGGAAUGGAGGUUUUCGUAUUCAUACAGUUAGUAUGCAUAGGUAAUAUGAUACUUUUCUAGUUAUUGUGCUUCGCUUAUACAAUGUAACACACAAACUUUUUCGACUGUUUAUCACAAAGAAGUAUCUCAUCAUUGUUAUUAUGAAGUCUGUAUAAAUAAGAAGAUGGUAUGAAGUAAUUACUGUGAAAAUAAAAGUUUUAGGCCUCAUUCACAUACAACUGUGAAUUUGUAUUGUAAAAAUAUGCACAAGUAGAUUUAAUGAUUUGAAAUAACAGUACAUAUAAUACCUUUGUAGACGUGGCUUUGUUUUUAUUGGUUGGAUUGCAAAACUAUUUGCAGAUUUAAAGUCCAUGUCAUUUUUGGAAUGAAGUUGCCUUAUUAUAAGAUCAUGGAUCAAGAGGAUAAGAGAAAAGAAUCUCUCAAAAAUAAGCAAGCACAGUGUUUUACUUCCAGUGGGUAUAUUUCAUUUAACUGACGUCCAUUUUUGAAUCUACUUGUAGAUUUGAUUCUACAUAUUUUACGCAUGGAAUGAUGAAUUUAAUUAAUCUUAAAAUACUUACUUAUAUAUGUUUAAGCAAAUUUAUGAAAGUUGUCUAUGUAACUAAGUACAAAGUUGUGUGUUAGAUGCCACUUUUUGUUUUAAUUGAGGUGUAAUUCAAAAUCUGAUUGUUAAUUUCAAUUCUACGAGUUAUUUUAAAUGUAUAUGUAAAUGUAUGCUAUUAUAGAAAUACUUUUUGUGCAUGUUGAAAUAAAUUUAGGAAACUGAAGUGUGUAACAGAGCAUAAAGUUGUACGUCAGAUAUCUGUAUUUUUUUUAAUUGAAGUCUAAUUGUAAAUCUGAUUGCAAAUUUAAAUUCUACGGGUCUUUUUACGUUGAUCUGUAUAUGUAUGUUGUUAUAAAAUUACAUUUUGUAUAUAAUGAAAUAAAUUUAGGAAACUGAAGUGUGUAAGAGAUCAUUAAGUUGUACGUCAGGUGUCUGUAUUUUUUUUAAUUGAAGUCUAAUUGUAAAUCUGUUUGCAAAUUUUAAUUCUACAGGUCUUUUUACGUUGAUCUGUAUAUGUAUGUUGUUAUAAAAUUACAUUUUGUAUAUAAUGAAAUAAAUUUAGGAAACUGAAGUGUGUAAGAGAUCAUUAAGUUGUACGUCAGGUGUCUGUAUUUUUUUUAAUUGAAGUCUAAUUGUAAAUCUGUUUGCAAAUUUUAAUUCUACAGGUCUUUUUACGUUGAUCUGUAUAUGUAUGUUGUUAUAAAAUUACAUUUUGUAUAUAAUGAAAUAAAUUUAGGAAACUGAAGUGUGUAAGAGAUCAUUAAGUUGUACGUCAGGUGUCUGUAUUUUUUUUAAUUGAAGUCUAAUUGUAAAUCUGUUUGCAAAUUUUAAUUCUACAGGUCUUUUUACGUUGAUCUGUAUAUGUAUGUUGUUAUAAAAUUACAUUUUGUAUAUAAUGAAAUAAAUUUAGGAAACUGAAGUGUGUAAGAGAUCAUUAAGUUGUACGUCAGGUGUCUGUAUUUUUUUUAAUUGAAGUCUAAUUGUAAAUCUGUUUGCAAAUUUUAAUUCUACAGGUCUUUUUACGUUGAUCUGUAUAUGUAUGUUGUUAUAAAAUUACAUUUUGUAUAUAAUGAAAUAAAUUUAGGAAACUGAAGUGUGUAAGAGAUCAUUAAGUUGUACGUCAGGUGUCUGUAUUUUUUUUAAUUGAAGUCUAAUUGUAAAUCUGUUUGCAAAUUUUAAUUCUACAGGUCUUUUUACGUUGAUCUGUAUAUGUAUGUUGUUAUAAAAUUACAUUUUGUAUAUAAUGAAAUAAAUUUAGGAAACUGAAGUGUGUAAGAGAUCAUUAAGUUGUACGUCAGGUGUCUGUAUUUUUUUUAAUUGAAGUCUAAUUGUAAAUCUGUUUGCAAAUUUUAAUUCUACAGGUCUUUUUACGUUGAUCUGUAUAUGUAUGUUGUUAUAAAAUUACAUUUUGUAUAUAAUGAAAUAAAUUUAGGAAACUGAAGUGUGUAAGAGAUCAUUAAGUUGUACGUCAGGUGUCUGUAUUUUUUUUAAUUGAAGUCUAAUUGUAAAUCUGUUUGCAAAUUUUAAUUCUACAGGUCUUUUUACGUUGAUCUGUAUAUGUAUGUUGUUAUAAAAUUACAUUUUGUAUAUAAUGAAAUAAAUUUAGGAAACUGAAGUGUGUAAGAGAUCAUUAAGUUGUACGUCAGGUGUCUGUAUUUUUUUUAAUUGAAGUCUAAUUGUAAAUCUGUUUGCAAAUUUUAAUUCUACAGGUCUUUUUACGUUGAUCUGUAUAUGUAUGUUGUUAUAAAAUUACAUUUUGUAUAUAAUGAAAUAAAUUUAGGAAACUGAAGUGUGUAAGAGAUCAUUAAGUUGUACGUCAGGUGUCUGUAUUUUUUUUAAUUGAAGUCUAAUUGUAAAUCUGUUUGCAAAUUUUAAUUCUACAGGUCUUUUUACGUUGAUCUGUAUAUGUAUGUUGUUAUAAAAUUACAUUUUGUAUAUAAUGAAAUAAAUUUAGGAAACUGAAGUGUGUAAGAGAUCAUUAAGUUGUACGUCAGGUGUCUGUAUUUUUUUUAAUUGAAGUCUAAUUGUAAAUCUGUUUGCAAAUUUUAAUUCUACAGGUCUUUUUACGUUGAUCUGUAUAUGUAUGUUGUUAUAAAAUUACAUUUUGUAUAUAAUGAAAUAAAUUUAGGAAACUGAAGUGUGUAAGAGAUCAUUAAGUUGUACGUCAGGUGUCUGUAUUUUUUUUAAUUGAAGUCUAAUUGUAAAUCUGUUUGCAAAUUUUAAUUCUACAGGUCUUUUUACGUUGAUCUGUAUAUGUAUGUUGUUAUAAAAUUACAUUUUGUAUAUAAUGAAAUAAAUUUAGGAAACUGAAGUGUGUAAGAGAUCAUUAAGUUGUACGUCAGGUGUCUGUAUUUUUUUUAAUUGAAGUCUAAUUGUAAAUCUGUUUGCAAAUUUUAAUUCUACAGGUCUUUUUACGUUGAUCUGUAUAUGUAUGUUGUUAUAAAAUUACAUUUUGUAUAUAAUGAAAUAAAUUUAGGAAACUGAAGUGUGUAAGAGAUCAUUAAGUUGUACGUCAGGUGUCUGUAUUUUUUUUAAUUGAAGUCUAAUUGUAAAUCUGUUUGCAAAUUUUAAUUCUACAGGUCUUUUUACGUUGAUCUGUAUAUGUAUGUUGUUAUAAAAUUACAUUUUGUAUAUAAUGAAAUAAAUUUAGGAAACUGAAGUGUGUAAGAGAUCAUUAAGUUGUACGUCAGGUGUCUGUAUUUUUUUUAAUUGAAGUCUAAUUGUAAAUCUGUUUGCAAAUUUUAAUUCUACAGGUCUUUUUACGUUGAUCUGUAUAUGUAUGUUGUUAUAAAAUUACAUUUUGUAUAUAAUGAAAUAAAUUUAGGAAACUGAAGUGUGUAAGAGAUCAUUAAGUUGUACGUCAGGUGUCUGUAUUUUUUUUAAUUGAAGUCUAAUUGUAAAUCUGUUUGCAAAUUUUAAUUCUACAGGUCUUUUUACGUUGAUCUGUAUAUGUAUGUUGUUAUAAAAUUACAUUUUGUAUAUAAUGAAAUAAAUUUAGGAAACUGAAGUGUGUAAGAGAUCAUUAAGUUGUACGUCAGGUGUCUGUAUUUUUUUUAAUUGAAGUCUAAUUGUAAAUCUGUUUGCAAAUUUUAAUUCUACAGGUCUUUUUACGUUGAUCUGUAUAUGUAUGUUGUUAUAAAAUUACAUUUUGUAUAUAAUGAAAUAAAUUUAGGAAACUGAAGUGUGUAAGAGAUCAUUAAGUUGUACGUCAGGUGUCUGUAUUUUUUUUAAUUGAAGUCUAAUUGUAAAUCUGUUUGCAAAUUUUAAUUCUACAGGUCUUUUUACGUUGAUCUGUAUAUGUAUGUUGUUAUAAAAUUACAUUUUGUAUAUAAUGAAAUAAAUUUAGGAAACUGAAGUGUGUAAGAGAUCAUUAAGUUGUACGUCAGGUGUCUGUAUUUUUUUUAAUUGAAGUCUAAUUGUAAAUCUGUUUGCAAAUUUUAAUUCUACAGGUCUUUUUACGUUGAUCUGUAUAUGUAUGUUGUUAUAAAAUUACAUUUUGUAUAUAAUGAAAUAAAUUUAGGAAACUGAAGUGUGUAAGAGAUCAUUAAGUUGUACGUCAGGUGUCUGUAUUUUUUUUAAUUGAAGUCUAAUUGUAAAUCUGUUUGCAAAUUUUAAUUCUACAGGUCUUUUUACGUUGAUCUGUAUAUGUAUGUUGUUAUAAAAUUACAUUUUGUAUAUAAUGAAAUAAAUUUAGGAAACUGAAGUGUGUAAGAGAUCAUUAAGUUGUACGUCAGGUGUCUGUAUUUUUUUUAAUUGAAGUCUAAUUGUAAAUCUGUUUGCAAAUUUUAAUUCUACAGGUCUUUUUACGUUGAUCUGUAUAUGUAUGUUGUUAUAAAAUUACAUUUUGUAUAUAAUGAAAUAAAUUUAGGAAACUGAAGUGUGUAAGAGAUCAUUAAGUUGUACGUCAGGUGUCUGUAUUUUUUUUAAUUGAAGUCUAAUUGUAAAUCUGUUUGCAAAUUUUAAUUCUACAGGUCUUUUUACGUUGAUCUGUAUAUGUAUGUUGUUAUAAAAUUACAUUUUGUAUAUAAUGAAAUAAAUUUAGGAAACUGAAGUGUGUAAGAGAUCAUUAAGUUGUACGUCAGGUGUCUGUAUUUUUUUUAAUUGAAGUCUAAUUGUAAAUCUGUUUGCAAAUUUUAAUUCUACAGGUCUUUUUACGUUGAU